GGGGGUGUAGCUCAGUUGGGAGAGCGCUUGAAUGGCAUUCAAGAGGUCAUGGGUUCGAACCCCACCAUCUCCA
rnacentral:tRNA from 1 species